AAUGAACGUUGGCGGCGUGGAUUAGGCAUGCGAGUCGUGCGAGAACCGUAGCAAUACGGGGACAGCGGCGAAAGGGAGAGGAACACGUGGAUACCUACCCUCAGGUUCAGGAUAGCUAUGGGAAACUAUAGGUAAUACUGAAUAAUAUCUCCGGAUCAAAGGUGUGAUUCCGCCGGAGGAGGGGUCCGCGUCCUAUUAGCUAGUUGGUGAGGUAAUGGCUCACCAAGGCGAAGAUGGGUACGGGAUGUGAGAACAUGAUCCCGCUCAUUGGGACUGAGACACUGCCCAGACACCUACGGGUGGCUGCAGUCGAGAAUC
rnacentral:rRNA from 1 species